UGCCUGCGAGUUCAUUAAGAGCAAGA
rnacentral:piRNA from 1 species